GACGAACGCUGGCGGCGUGCUUAACACAUGCAAGUCGUACGGUAAGGCCCUUUCGGGGGUACACGAGUGGCGAACGGGUGAGUAACACGUGAGUAACCUGCCCACAACUUUGGGAUAACGCUAGGAAACUGGUGCUAAUACUGGAUAUGUGCUCCUGCUGCAUGGUGGGGGUUGGAAAGCUCCGGCGGUUGUGGAUGGACUCGCGGCCUAUCAGCUUGUUGGUGGGGUAGUGGCCUACCAAGGCGGCGACGGGUAGCCGGCCUGAGAGGGUGACCGGCCACGUUGGGACGGAGAUACGGCCCAGACUCCUACGGGAGGCAGCAGUGGGGAAUAUUGCACAAUGGGCGCAAGCCUGAUGCAGCAACGCCGCGUGCGGGAUGACGGCCUUCGGGUUGUAAACCGCUUUCAGCAGGGACGAAGCUUUUUGUGACGGUACCUGCAGAAGAAGCACCGGCUAACUACGUG
rnacentral:rRNA from 1 species